rnacentral:rRNA from 1 species
GACGAACGCUGGCGGUGUGCUUAACACAUGCAAGUGGUGCGACGAACCAGAGCUUGCUCUGGGGCAAAGCCGCGAACGGGUGAGUAACACGUGGGGUAAUCUACCCCGAUGACCGGGACAACCCGAGGAAACUCGGGCUAAUACCGGAUGUGGUACGGAGACAUAAGUCUCUUUACUAAAGGUAGCUUCGGCUUCCGCAUUGGGAGGGGCCCGCGGCCCAUUAGCUAGUUGGUGGGGUCAAGGCCUACCAAGGCAACGAUGGGUAGCUGGUCUGAGAGGACGAUCAGCCACACUGGGACUGAGACACGGCCCAGACUCCUACGGGAGGCAGCAGUGGGGAAUCUUGCGCAAUGCGCGAAAGCGUGACGCAGCAACACCGCGUGAGGGAAGACGGCCUUAGGGUUGUAAACCUCUUUCAGAUGGGACGAAGGUGAUGCGGUGAAUAGCCGAUGUCAUUGACGGUACCGUCAGAAGAAG